rnacentral:tRNA from 1 species
ACACCGAGAGUGNUUAGAAUACCGGCCUGUCACGCCGGGGGUCGCGGGUUCGAGUCCCGUCCGCUGCGCCA